GAGCUAGAACUAGAAUGCACACACAGCUGGAUCUUUUCCUUUAGUUUGUGGCUACACUAUUAGCUAAAAUAAACUUCAGGCUGACUUUAUGUAGACAGACACUAUUACAUAACCUGGUAUCUAUCUUAAGUGACAGAGAUAAUGUACUUUUCCAAUGGACAGCUUGGAGUGUAUUACUUUAUUAUGCUCACCUGUUAAUUCCCCUCUUCUCAACAGUGAGUAACCUUGUAAGUGAUUCUGAUUAACCCACAUGGCUGUGUUUCUGUUAUUCCAGCCCUCCCUACUGUCCAUUCUGUUCUCAGCAGAUGGAGUGGGCUUGGUACUCCAGUGUUAGGGCUGCAGAUGAUAUGUGCGUGCUUGGUGAAAGAGCGGACUGAGUCAUUCAAAUAUUUAUGGUGUUCUUCCUGUUGAAAAGAUUAAUGGGGAGAUGAAAAGUGAAGUGCAGAAAAAAUUGCUUUGCUGCAGAAAUCACUGUGUUUCCCAGUAAAGAACUGUAAACAGCAAUACUGUAGGGAUUGAUUUAUGAAGAACAGAAACAGGAGGAAUUCUGCAGACCUCAGUUGAGUGAUGGCAACUGCUAGGCCAUGAGAAAGUGAAAAUAUGGAAUGCUUGUUCCUUCCCUCAGAAAUGUCAGCCUUUCAUAUGAAUACGCAGAAGUUGAAAUUCAUUAUUGUGAUGAGUUGCUGAACAAAUACUGCAGAUUGAAGCCAGACCUCAAUUCUCAAGGAGCAUGCUUGCAACUGAAAGCAAUGGGACUUUGGUGUGAAUUUCAGAACUGUCUUAAUCUCAACCAGUAAGCACCAACCAACAGAGUCUCAGCAGAUGCUGUUUGGGAGUUAGACCUCUGAGAUACCAUUCCUAAAAGGCUGAUGUGGACACUGUCUCUAGGGAGAGAACAGCACAUUUAAGGACAAAUAGUCCUGAAGAAGUGCCAAGAGAAACCAUAUAUGAGGAUCAGCUGUACUACUGCUUAUAUAUUUGCCAGAGAGACAUGUAAGGAGACAGCUGGAAGAAGAAAAGAUUGAAUACCAAGGAUCCAUGGCAGCAACAGCAGAUACACGCUAAGAAUAUCUCCUGAGGAGAGAGCAAGAGCAAGGAUGCAUGAAACUAUCAAAUGGAUCCCAAGAAUGUUGUCAUUCUGGCACAGCUCAUUCAGAUUCACUUAUCUCACCAUAAAAAAUCUAGCUGGAAUAUAUCAUCGGUACAGAAGAUGAAUAGUUCCGAUGUCUAUUUGGAACUACUAACUCAUUCCUGCUCCAGCCACUGCAUGUUACUGCCAUGUUCAUCAGUCACUGUUUGCCCACUAGUACUGUCAGUCUGCUAAUUAUUGAGUCUAUAAAAUAUCCACGGUUCAUGGAGCAGUGCACAACUGAGGGUCAGCCUGCUUGGAGGUGGAGAUGGCACAAGGGAUGGAAGAGGUAAAAGUGGCAGGCACUGAAGACCUGGCUGCCAGCACACUAUCAGGGUGUAGUGUUGGUUAUCGCAAUACGCUGCAGUCAUACCAAACAACCCAAACCAAAGCAAAGGCCAACAAGAAGUCAACAGAGGACAGCAGGCUUCCCAGUUGGUAGACUGAGCUACCUUCAUAUGGUAAGAACGUAUAGUGUGAACAACACCGGGGUAAUCUUUAAAGUUAUUAAACACAUUUGUAAGGUUGUUUUAGGGAACAGACCUCCUGUGAGAAGGAGGAGAAAGGCCUCUGACAAGCACUGCAAAUCACGUAGCAUCUCAUCCCACUGUGGCCCUGUCUGAACAAUUAAAACAAGUUGUUUAGGAACAAGUUGAACCCUAACUUAUCCAUUCCCAUUGCCAGUUCCUGUGUGGGACUGCUUAGAUAAGUCUUGCUCCUGAUGGCUAAAGAUAGAAAUGUUUUCCAUUCAGAUUUUUGUUUUACUUUUAAUGCUGUAUUAGAGCAGUCCUCGGAAUAGUUCUGGAGUUCGUUUAGUUCUCAUUCCCUGACUUGCUUUAGUGCUGGCAGUCCCAGAAUGGCCAGACCCAGAGACAGCACAGGUCUCACAGGGGCAGCCAAGCAGGCUGGUGCCUAAAAACAACCUGCCAUCAGAAACCCCUAUCUGGAGUGAGUAAAAACUGAAGCCUUAUGAUGUUGCUGCCAAGACAGAAAACUAACGAUGGCCUGUUUCAAUGGUGCAUAAUGCUGUUCUAUUCAGGAGGAGCCAAACAGGGACCAUUUUGCGUCAACCAGCGGGGGGUGAGGCUGAAGCAGACCUCUGGAGCUGCAGGCUACAUGUCUCCCAAGCUGUGCAGACACUGAAUCAAGAGCUGGUGUAGUGGCUGGAGCUCGGUGGACAGCUACCAGACAGCUGGCUGCAGCUCCAGUAAGGGCUCCUGGUGCCCGCUGGCGCAGGAUAUGUGCUGUUCCUGCCAGCUUCAUAGCUUGUUCCUGGGUAACACUUCUUCCCUGUGUGAAAACAGGGUGGAUUUCCUGCAGGAAAUUAUUUUCGUAUUAUCUCCAGUGAAGAGAUUAAUUAUUCCCUCUUCAGCCAAAAGGAGAAAUCCUGGCAAUAUGGUUUGACUUCUGCUGCCUUAACAAGUUGCUGUUGCGCCCAUCGGAACUGUGUUGGUAGCUGGCAGGUUGCGCUGCUAGUGGGUGUGCUCAGACAUGGUGACUCCGUGCUGUCCACCCGUGAUAUUUAUCCCGGUUACCGAACACCAGGCACACAGCAUGCUGUCUGUCACACAUCCCCCUUUCCUGUCUCCACUUUGCUGCCAGCCAGGCCACUCCAGAAACCACCUGGUGUCCUGCACCUGGUCUCCAUCAUGAAGUGAAUGUUUUUUUCACUUCUAAGCACACAAGCCUUGCCCCGCCAGGGCUGGUGAAAACCUUACACCAGUUGGUCACUGUUGCAGAACAACAGCUCUGCAGAAACAGGGUCAUUUCUGGUAGUGCAGGUUCAUCCUCCCCAUUCAGGUCCUUCUCCUCAUGGAGCUGUGCCUGCUCCAGCUUCUGGGGUGCCCAUGCUGCUCCCUCCUGAUGCACCCACUGGUGGAAAGGCACCCCAGCAGGUUACCAAUGUGCACCUAAAGUGUGGGACCCUGCCCACAGGGUUAGGCUGCUGACAGCAUCCCAGUGACAGGAUACGCCUGAGCUGGGCAACCGCUGCCAGCGCCAGGAUGGGUUUUCACUUCUGCUCUGUCCUUCUUUGAGGUUUCUCCCCACUCUGACAUGUUUUUGUGCUUCUUUUCUACAUCUUUCUGAUGUCUUUCAGACUGAUGCCUUUAUUUGGAAAUUCCCUUUGUCAUUUCUUGCUUAACACUUAAUUCAGCUGAUGGUCACUUUCCUCUUUACCAUAAUGGUUGUUUCCCCCUCCAGAAAGAUCAUUUUGGGGUAAACGCCCUCUCAGACAGUUCUGGGUUUUCCAUUUACACAUGCUGUUUAUGCAAACUUCCAUCUUAGCAGCUGUUGCUGCCAAGGGUGAGCUGUGCAGGCACCCCCACAAAUAACAUUACACUGCCAUAAUACUAGUACUAGAGAAAGGAAUGGUGGCCUCACAGCUGAAUUUCCCAUUCUAUAUUUUCUAAUUUUACCAGUUCACAACAUGUUAAACUUGGUUAGCUCACGUAGCUCUGUGUGGUAAAUUGGUUCAAAUGCACUUCUCACAUUCAUAGGACCAACCGUGUGUGUGUCUAUAAGCCUAAUCCCUCUUCAUCCCACAUCUGUGGGGAACAAGGAGAACGACUUGGGAGCUAUUUUUGCUACACCGUGCUCUGGGAUGCUACAGGUCCCACCUGAGCUGAUGUGAGGCUGAAAAUCAGAGGACAGUGCUAUGCAGGACCAGGAAGUUGUGUGGGGACCAUACCCUGGCACACCCUUCCUGGAAAGACUGAGGGCAAUUCCUGAAGGUCGUUCCCCUUCCCUCAAGGCCCCACGCAACUACCAGGGGGCUGUAAAAUGCUGUCAAAUAACCGUGUGCCAUCUGACCCCUGGCUUUCAGCAGGAGAAACUGGGCUGUGUGUUGCAGAGCUGCAGCAGCUCCGUCGCCAAUGCAGUUCCUCACCCCCUCUCACCUGCUGUGUGCUGCAGGCCCCGUGCCAAGCUCUUGAGCAGCUGCCCUUUUCCAGCUCCAGGCAUGCCAGCCUGAGGAGGCCUAGCCCCAUUUGUUGGAGGUGGCAACCCACGAGCAGUAACUGUUCAAUGCCAUUUUGCCCACUUCUGAUAUCUUACAGCAGCUCUCAGUCCCUCAGCCCUUGAGCCCCUCCUGACAGCGUGCCUCUUCCUCCAUGGCAUGUCACAGCACAAACCACAGCUGCCUUCAGAGAUGGUUCUCACAUUAUACCCACGCUUUCUGCCCGUGACCAUCAGCUGCAGUGCCUCAUUUCACAAGUCACCAAGAUAGGCAAACCAGAGCUUUGCUCUACUCUAUGCCCUGCCCUACAUCAAAUGUCUGCCCUCCAUCUGACCUUCAGUGAGACCCUUUGCUUUCUUCCAGCCCCAUAACACAGGAAACCCCAAGGAAUAUCCUUGUUGGGCAAGUAUGGCUAAACUAACUGGAAGAAACCAGAGUGCUCUUUGCAAUCCAGCUCCUAAAGGCAGAAAAACAAACCCUAAGUCCAUCCCAAGGGCUGUUCUUUCCUAGGUGCUGUCACAGCUCUUCCCAGCCCCGUCCUUUCUCCCACAGCUAAUCUGGAUGUGGAUGUCUUCGCACAUUUUGUUCUUUGUUCUUGGCAGUUUCUAAAGUUGCCUCAGGCCCUUAUCACCUCAAAAGAUCAGAUCAUAUCCUGGUGGCCUUAGAGACGGCCUGAUUGAUAUCCGAGCAGCCAAACAAACGGUAAAUUUGAAUAAAAUAUGGCACCCUGCUGCCUGUUAGUUCUGCUGAUUCAGAGAGGGUAAUGUGCUGACAUCAAGCAAAGUGCAUGUCUUGGGCGUGCAUGGGAUGGCAGCUUCAGAAAGAGCUUUGCAGAAACAGUGCACAAGCCUCACCGAGUGCCUUCUGCUCAUCCCAGCCCCUGCAUGCCCUGUCCUGUGCAGUUAUGGGGAUUUGGUGCUGCUACCAACCCACCAGGGCUUCUGUGUUUGCCCAGAAAUACAGAGUCUUGCAGGAAGUUUGCAGGUGAUCCUUAAGCAAACAGCAAUGCAGCCAGGCGCUCCUGCAGCUCAGCUUCCACAGGCACCAUCAGUUCUGGUAGUGAGAGAACGUGCUCGGAGAACGAUCAUGUUUCAGAGUGGCCAUUUACUCUGUAACCGUGAUACGGCUGCUCAGGUUAGAUGGAUCAUUCAUCUUAGUUGCUUUCUCCAGACCUACUCUCAAUGGCCAUAAACCUGCUGGUUUCACUUUGGGUGUCCCUGUUGCUUGAGCAGAAGGCAAGGAGGGGAGGCCUGCAUUAGUUGCUGCCAUUCCACUUGCCCUAUACCAACUUGUGUGGGAUUUCCUUGGCUUAUAGACAUGGCAUCCAUGGACAGGCUGCCUUAUGAGGCCAUGAGGAGCAUCCAGGAUAGCAGAGGGAGCGAGUUCUCUUACCAGGCAGAGCGGGUGGCCCACAGCUGAGGAUGCUGCCUUGCUGGCUACAAUAGCUACAGCACUGGGAUCUGAGCAUUGGACAUGGGCAGCUAUUCCUCCCACAGCGUCUUGUUUAUUGGCUUGAUUGUAAUCACAGUCCUCUUAACUCGUAACCAAUACUCCUCCCUACACGGCACACGAUGUUCGCUGGGUAUCAGAUCCUGCUGUCUGUGUUUGCUCUUGUUAUCGCCCACCAUCAGCAGGUCUCUUUAAAGACGAGCUCUGACAAACACCACGGAGAAACGAGAUGCCACUCAUCCUCUUCCCCCUUGGAAGAUCAGCUGUCUGAACACCAUUGGGAGCAAGUUCCCCUAACCUACCCAGGACAAAAGUCCACGUGGCCGGCUCCUUUGAUCACCCAUAACGUGCCGCAGAGCUGCCUUCCUGUGAUCCCCAUAACAUACUCAGCAAACUGGCACUCCCACUUUAAACACACUCAAACUGUCUAUUCUUCCCGUGUGACACUUCCAUUGCACGAGCUUUGGAUGCUCUGGGAAGCACCUUCAGGGUGUCCAUGUGGCCUCAGCAGGCCAAGGUGCCCCAGAACCAUCUCUGUGUUGGUUGUUUCAGGGGCUGCAGCUGUGUUUUGGCCAUGGGACCUAUGAAGAAAGGCUGAGGGGGCUUAUAGCCCGGAGAAGGUGUCAGGGAAACCUCUUUAUGAGGCCUUGCAGCAGUUGAGGGGAGCUAAAAGACUCAACUAGAAGAGGGCAGAUUCAGGUUAGACGUUAGAAGAACCCUUGCACUCAGCAGAGCGGUGAGGCGCUGCCACUGCUGCCCACAGGAGCUGCGGUCCCCCAUAUCUGUAGGCUCUGAGGGCCGGCUGGGAUGUGGCCCUGUGGAUCUCAGCCGCAGUGUCUCACUAUAUAUAAAGUCGCACCCAUUCAGCCCUGUACGCUCCCGCCCCUCCCCCGCUCCCCGCGCCGCAGCCCCGCGCACGGCGCGUCAUGCCGCAGCCCCCCCUCCCGCGGGUCACCUUGCGGGCCCGGCUGCGCCCCGCACCCCCGGCACAGCAAACGCAGCAUCGGGCAGGUGCCGGGCAGGUGCCGUGCGGUGCGUGCGGUGCCCGG